rnacentral:rRNA from 1 species
CAAUAGCGUAUAUUAAAGUUGUUGCAGUUAGAACGCUCGUAGUCGGAUUUCGGGGCGUUCCGACCGGUCUGCCGAUGGGUAUGCACUGGCCGGAGUGUCCUUUUUGCCGGAGACCGUGCCUACUCUUAACUGAGCGGGGGCGGGAGACGGCACUUUUACUUUGAAAAAAUCAGAGUGUUUCAAGCAGGCAGCUCGCUCUUGCAUGGAUUAGCAUGGGAUAAUGAAAUAGGACUUUGGUGCUAUUUUGUUGGUUUCGAACACCGAAGUAAUGAUGAGAAGGGACAGUCAGGGGCACUCGUAUUCCGCAGAGAGAGGUGAAAUUCUCAGACCCGCGGAAGACGAGCCACUGCGAAAGCAUUUGCCAGGGAUGUUUNCACUGA